rnacentral:rRNA from 1 species
UGAGGAAUAUUGCGCAAUGGGGGCAACCCUGACGCAGCAACGCCGCGUGAGUGAGGAAGGUUUUCGGACCGUAAAGCUCUGUCGAGCGGGAAGAAAUGCAUGGAGGCUAAUAUCCAUCAUGCUUGACGGUACCGCUAAAGGAAGCACCGGCUAACUCCGUGCCAGCAGCCGCGGUAAUACGGGGGGUGCGAGCGUUGUUCGGAAUUAUUGGGCGUAAAGAGCGUGUAGGCGGCCGAAUAAGUCAGAUGUGAAAUCCCUGGGCUUAACCCAGGACGUGCAUUUGAAACUAUUAGGCUGGAGUAGGGGAGAGGAAAGUGGAAUUCCUGGUGUAGAGGUGAAAUUCGUAGAUAUCAGGAGGAACACCGGUGGCGAAGGCGACUUUCUGGCCCUAUACUGACGCUGAGACGCGAGAGCGUGGGUAGCAAACAG